CCGCAGCCACCAAGAACAGUAAGGAUCAGCUGACGCCAUAAACACACCGUCAGCCUUCACCCAGGGGAGACCCGCCACCAUAUCUUCGUGUAAACUGUACGUGUUACCAAGAACAAGAAGAGCUUUGACAAGCCGCUGGCUACCCGUUCCAGUCGUGGUCACUAGAUGCUGGGCCUCGGGUUUGGGAUAUUGGCCGAGAUGUGCGACUAAUAGAAGAGUCCAUUUAAUAUCACCUUUUCCUGGUCCCUAUGGACCAGCAAUUGGAGUAUUAUGUGCAUAUGAAGUGACCAUGCAGAGGGACUUAACAGAAAUUUAGUUGGCCAUGAAGUAGUUGUAAAUUAUUCUGCUAGUAUUCAAAAGAAACAUGGGUUGUUAGAUCAGACACUUCUGAAGAAGAGCAUCAGGAACUACACUUACGGGCUAUUCAUGCCUGUGCCAUCUCUUGGGUGGCUUAAUCUUCAUCAAUCAAUCCAGAACUACAGUGAAUUUCCACGAGUGAGACAUUAUACACUCCUACCUGGGAAGUCUCUGAGCCCAGGUUGAAUCUGGAAAUGUUGCCUGGAAGACAUUCUAGCAAGUUCAAGCCUUUUCAGGGGCCGUGACGAGAGUUCGAACCUAUGUCCAAGAUGAUCCCAGACACUGCCUUCAUCGACUGAGCUACGACAUGGUUAAAAUAAUUGCAACCGGGAAAUCCCGAUUUACCGACGGAUCCUGCAGUCUCUCCGAGACAAACCAAUCCCUCGUGGAUGUUUAUUUUAUGCAUCAUGCUAUUGUGAUUUGUGUAAUUUAUCUUCAUCCACUAGUGCUAUAAUAAAGAUUGGUAUGAAACUUA
rnacentral:lncRNA from 1 species